UCACCUUCCUCCUCCUCCUUCAGAUCUUCCCAGACAUCCAGAGAAGACGGACCUCCUUCACUCCUCCUCCUCCUCCUCUUCUUCCUUCUCCUCCUCUUCCUCUUUCCUCUUCUUUUUCAUUGUUCCUCAUCUUCUCACAAAAGAAAAGAAAAAAAUAGAGAGAAAACGAAAGAAAGGAAUGAAAGGAAAGAAAGAAAAAAGGAAAGAAGUGUGAAGGAAAAUGAAUGAAAAGGAAGAAGAGAAAAAGGAAGGAAGAAGAAAAGGAGGAAGAGGAAACGGGAAGAGGAGAGAAAGGGGAAGAUGAAACAGGAAGAGGAAGAAACGAGGAGAGAAAAGUGGAGGAGGAGGAAGGUGAAGAAGAGAAAGAGAAAAAGGAAGGAGGAAGAAACGGGGAGAUAGACGGAAGAGGAGGAGGAGGAAGAAACGGAAAGGAGGGAAAAAAAGAAGAAAAAAAACACAGAGAAGAAGAGAAAAUAAAUAAAGAAGAAACAGGAAGAGAAACAGAAAACAGAAGAGAAACGAGAUGAAGAAGAGAAACGAGAAGAGAAAAUAGAAAAGGAGAAGAAAAGAGGAGACACAAAAUUAAGAAAAAGCGAAGAGAAAAGAAAAAAAGGAGAUAAAACAGGAGGAGGAAGAAGACAAGAAAAACAACAACAGGAAGAAAAAAAGAAGACAAAAACAACAAGAGGAAGAAAAAAAGAAGACAAAAAACAACAACAGGAAGAAAAAAAGAAGACAAAAAGCUACAACAGGAAGAAAAAAAAACAUAAAAACAGGAAGAGGAAACAGGAAGGAAGAGAAACUAAAGGAGAAACGGGAGGGAGGCAACGCAGGACCCACCAAAGGACUCCCCCCUCCCCCCCCCCUCCUCCUCCUCCUCCUCCUCCUCCUCCUCCUCUUUCCCCCCCAAAAUAACGGCAGUGGUGAAUUCCUUAAGGACGUCGACCCCACUCUUCAUCCUCCUCCUCCUCCUCCUCCUCCUCCUCCUCCUCCUCCUUCUCCUCCUCUUCCUUCGGCUUCUCCUACCUCCUACGUGUCUUUCUGCUCUUCCUCCUCCUCCUCCUCCUUUUCCUUCUUUUCUUUAUCUUCUGUUUUUUUUUGUCUUUUCUAACUCCUCUUUUUCUUCUUUUUCUUUAAUUCUUCUUCGUUUAUUUUUUUCUGUUCUUCCUCAUUCUAUUUAUGGUUUUAUUAUCCUUGUCUCCUCCUCCUCUUCCUCCUCCUCCUCUUCCUUCUCCUCCUCUUCCUCCGCCUACACUACAGUCUCCUUCUUCCUCAUUCUCUUCCUCGCAUUCUUUUCUUUCUCCUUAUUUUUCCUCUACACUCUCUUCUUUCCUCCUCCCUCUUCUCUUUCUUAUUUAUGUUUUUACUUCCUUGUUUGUAUUUUCUUCCUUCUUCCUCAUUCUUUUUUUUUUCGUGGUUCUCUUCUUUGUCUUCUUCUUCUUCUUCUUCUUCUUCUUCAUGUCUUACUCCUUCCUCCUUUCUUUCGUCUGUUCGUCCAGUCUUCUCCCCUCCCACCUCUUCCUCCUCCUCCUCCUCAUCUUCCACUUCCUCGUCUCCCGUUACAAAGAUGGAAUGAGGGUUCACGACAACUCAGAUCUCACAGGACUUAGUAUUUGGUAGUGGAAGAAGAAGAAGAAGAAGAAGAAGAAGAAGAAGAAGAAGAAGAACGAGAACAUCAAGAACAAGAACAAGAAGAACGAAAGUAGGAAUAAGAAGAAAGAAGAAGAAGAAGAAGAACGAGAACAACAAGAACAAGAACAACAAAAGUAAAAUAAGAAGAAAAACAAAAAGAAGAAGAAAAAGAAGAAGAAGAAGAAGAAGAAGAAGAAGAAGAAGAAGAAGAAGAAGAAGAAGAAGAAGAAGAAGAGAAAUGGUGAAUAAAACGGUGAUAUGAAAACUCGACCAUCACCACCAUCCAGAAGAGUCAUCUCCUUAAUCCCUCUCGCGUGACCACAACAAAAGAGUGACCAAGAGGCGUUCUGAUCCUCUAUAUGUCACGGUUAGGGAGUUGGAUCCCUUGUAUACACGUUCAAGAAGGAUUGGCUGUUAUUUUUUUUGUUAUUUUGUGGUUAUGUGAUUUUGGUUGACUUGUUGUUUACGGUUUUUUGUAUUUGUGACGAGUGGAGAAUAAGUUUGUUUGUUUGUUUUUGUUUUUUUGUUUAGCGGUGGAAAAAAGUGUAAAUUUGAUGUGAAAGAAAAAUAGUUGCGGAUGGAAAAGAUGAAAAAAAUGUCGAUAAUGCAAAAAAGAAGAAAACAACAGAGGAUUAUUAAAAAAAUGAAGGAAAGUAUAAGAAAAAGAAAAAAAUGUUCGGAAAGGAGAGAAAAAAAAACAGAUGAAGUGGAAAAUAAUGUAAACGUUGAUAAAAUAGAAAAGAAAAGAAAGGAAAGAAAAAAAGAAUAAGAAGAAAAAGACAAAGAAAGUAUAAAACAAAGAAUUAAACCAAAAAGAUGUAAGAAAUGAAGAAAGGAAGGAAAGAAGAAAGAAAGAAAGCAAGAAUGAAAGAAAGAAAAGAAAAAAUGAAAAGAAAAUAAGAAAAACCCAAAAUACUUAUACAAACUUUUAA